AAUUGUAUCAUAUCACCAUUUCUCCUCAGUAUAUAUAUUUUUUUGCUACAGUAUAUCACUCAGCCCUAUAUUUAAGUCAUGUGACAUACCUAAGGACCAAGAGUCAAUCAAUCAACCUGUGAACUACACAAAAUGCUAGUGCUAAAAGGGUGUACAUGCCCCAGUCCAGCAGCCCUGGAGUGUCCAGUAGCCUCCUCAGGCUGUCCUGGUCUCUGGAGAACAUGCUGUGGAUGUUGAAGUCCCCCUCACGGUCGCGUGUGCCCUGUGUGGAGGACAGGCCGUAAGAGUGUUUGGACAGAUGAUUUAAAUCGAUGUGCCCUGUGUGGAAGACAAGCCGUAAGAGUGUUUGGACAAAUUAUUUAAUUCGAUGUGCCCUGUGUGGAAGACAAGCCGUAAGAGUGUUUGGACAGAUGAUUUAAAUCGAUGUGCAAUGUGUGGAAGACAGGCCAUAAGAUGAUUUAAAUCGAUGUGCCCUGUGUGGAAGACAAGCCGUAAGAGUGUUUGGACAGAUGAUUUAAAUCGAUGUGCCCUGUGUGGAAGACAAGCCAUAAGAGUGUUUGGACAGAUGUUUUAAAUCGAUGUGCCCUGUGUGGAAGACAGGCCGUAAGAUGAUUUAAAUCGAUGUGCCCUGUGUGGAGGACAGGCUGUAAGAGUGUUUGGACAGAUGUUUUAAAUCAAUGUGACAAUUGAUUUGAUUAGACUGUAGCUUCUGUGACUUCAAUUAUUUCUGGGAAUUAUGAACGUGAGAUUGUAUUGAAUGGCUAUUGUUUGUGGAAUAAAAAUGUAGAUAUAUUUAUGUCAGCA